rnacentral:rRNA from 1 species
AUUGAACGCUGGCGGCAGGCCUAACACAUGCAAGUCGAGCGGAUGAGUGGAGCUUGCUCCAUGAUUCAGCGGCGGACGGGUGAGUAAUGCCUAGGAAUCUGCCUGGUAGUGGGGGACAACGUUACGAAAGGAACGCUAAUACCGCAUACGUCCUACGGGAGAAAGCAGGGGACCUUCGGGCCUUGCGCUAUCAGAUGAGCCUAGGUCGGAUUAGCUAGUAGGUGAGGUAAUGGCUCACCUAGGCGACGAUCCGUAACUGGUCUGAGAGGAUGAUCAGUCACACUGGAACUGAGACACGGUCCAGACUCCUACGGGAGGCAGCAGUGGGGAAUAUUGGACAAUGGGCGAAAGCCUGAUCCAGCCAUGCCGCGUGUGUGAAGAAGGUCUUCGGAUUGUAAAGCACUUUAAGUUGGGAGGAAGGGCAGUAAGUUAAUACCUUGCUGUUUUGACGUUACCAACAGAAUAAGCACCGGCUAACUUCGUGCCAGCAGCCGCCGUAAUAC